CACGUAGGGGGCGAGCGUUGUCCGGAAUCAUUGGGCGUAAAGAGCUCGUAGGCGGCUCGGUAAGUCGGGUGUGAAACCCCCAGGCUCAACCUGGGGACGCCACCCGAUACUGCUGUGGCUAGAGUCCAGUAGGGGAGUGUGGAAUUCCCGGUGUAGCGGUGAAAUGCGCAGAUAUCGGGAGGAACACCAGCGGCGAAGGCGGCGACCUGGGUAGAUACUGACGCUGAGGUGCGAAAGCGUGGGGAGCAAACAGG
rnacentral:rRNA from 1 species